rnacentral:rRNA from 1 species
UACAGAGGCCACGAGCGUUAGGCGGAAUCACUGGGCUUAAAGCGUGUGUAGGUGGAUGGCUAAGUACCUUGUGAAAUCCCACGGCUCAACCGUGGAACUGCUCGGUAUACUGGUCGUCUUGAGGCACUCAGGGGCGAGCGGAACAGAUGGUGGAGCGGUGAAAUGCGUAGAUAUCAUCUGGAACGCCAAUGGUGAAGACAGCUCGCUGGGGGUGUACUGACACUGAGACACGAAAGCCAGGGGAGCGAACGGG